GUUCGCUUGGUAUAGUGGUAAGCAUUUUAGUUCGUUACGCUAACAACGCGAGUUCGAGUCUCGUAGAGAGAG